GUCCACGCCUAACUAUGAUCACUCGAUGUGUGCGAUACACUGUACGCGUCUGAGCGAAGCAUUAAGUGAUCCACCUGGGAAGUACGGCCGCAAGGCUGAACUCAAAGGAAUUGACGGGGGCCCGCACAAGCGGAGGAGCAUGUGGUUUAAUUCGAUGAUACGCGAGGAACCUUACCUGGGCUUGAAAGUUAGUGAAUGCCGUAGAAACAUGGCAGCAAGCAAUUGCACGAAACUAGGUGCUGCAUGGCUGUCGU
rnacentral:rRNA from 1 species